rnacentral:rRNA from 1 species
ACAGUCACACAUUAGAUACCCGCGUAGUCCUGGCCGUAAACGAUGUGGACUUGGUGUUGGAAUGGCUCCGAGCCACCGAGGUGCCGAAGGGAAACCGUGAAACGUGCCGCCUGGGAAGUACGGUCGCAAGGCUGAAACUUAAAGGAAUUGGCGGGGAGCACCACAACGGGUGGAGCCUGCGGUUUAAUUGGACUCAACGCCGGGAAGCUCACCGGAUAAGACAGCGGAAUGAUUGCCGGGCUGAAGACUCUGCAUGACUAGCUG